rnacentral:sRNA from 1 species
GUCUUAGAGGUAUUUAGCUAUGGCAUCUCUCACUCUAUUGAUGGUCAAGUUGGAUUUAGCUGAUCUGGCUGGCUGGGUGGUAAUCUCCUUCCUUCUCUCCUCACUGGUUCUUGUGCAUCCCUCCUAAAGUUUCAGUGUCAGAAGAUGACCUCAUUUUAGAGGACUAUUCUCUGGUAAGGGAUGUGUGAGGCUGCACUCACAAGAUGUGAAACAAGCUUGAUUUCUAGCCUUUCACAAGUAAUGUGGGAAUUCAGUUACAAAACAGUAAUUU